AGAACCAUAGCUCAGUGGUAAGAACAUCUGCCUUCCGUGCGAAAGGGCCUAGGUUUAAUCCCUGGUAUUUCUA